UACGGAGGGUGCAAGCGUUAUCCGGAAUCACUGGGUUUUAAAGGGUGCGUAGGCGGUCUGAUAAGUCAGUUGUGAAAUUCCUCGGCUUAACCGAGUGGACUGCGAUUGAUACUGUCAGACUUGAAUCAGGUUGAGGUAGGCGGAAUGUGACAUGUAGCGGUGAAAUGCUUAGAUAUGUCAUAGAACACCGAUUGCGAAGGCAGCUUGCUGGGCUUAGAUUGACGCUGAGGCACGAAAGCGUGGGGAGCAAACAGG
rnacentral:rRNA from 1 species